GCGUGGAUUAGGCAUGCAAGUCGAACGAGAUGUUUAGCUUUUUCGAACAUCUAGUGGCGAAAGGGUGAGUAACACGUGGGUGAUCUGCCCAAAGGAUCGGGAUAACCUGCUGAAAGGCGGGCUAAUACCGGGUAAGACCACGAUUUCUUCGGAUUUUGAGGUCAAAGAUGGGGACCGCAAGGCCUAUCGCCUUGGAUGAACCCGCGGCUAUCAGCUUGUUGGUGGGGUAAUGGCCUACCAAGGCAAUGACGGGUAGCUGGCCUGAGAGGGUGGUCAGCCACAUCGGGACUGAGACACUGCCCGGACUCCUACGGGAGGCUGCAGUCGAGAAUCUUUCGCAAUGGGGGAAACCCUGACGAAGCGACGCCGCGUGCAGGAUGACGGCCUUCGGGUUGUAAACUGCUGUCACUUGGGACGAAUGGUAUUGAGGCAAAGAGCCUCGAUGCUUGACGGUACCGAGAGAGGAAGCCACGGUAACUCUGUGCCAGCAGCCGCGGUAAUACAGAGGUGGCGAGCGUUGUUCGGAUUCAUUGGGUGUA
rnacentral:rRNA from 1 species